AUCUUUCGGGAUCUUGAGAGCGGCGUACGGGUGCGGAACACGUGUGCAACCUGCCUUUAUCUGGGGGAUAGCCUUUCGAAAGGAAGAUUAAUACCCCAUAAUAUACCGGAUGGCAUCAUUCGGUAUUGAAAACUCCGGUGGAUAGAGAUGGGCACGCGCAAGAUUAGAUAGUUGGUGAGGUAACGGCUCACCAAGUCUGCGAUCUUUAGGGGGCCUGAGAGGGUGRUYCCCCACAMUGGUACUGAGACMCGGACCASACUYCUACGGGAGGCAGCAGUGAGGAAUAUUGGACAAUGGGUGAGAGCCUGAUCCASCCMUCCCGCGUGAAGGACGACGGCCCUAUGGGUUGUAAACUUCUUUUGUAUAGGGAUAAACCUACCCUCGUGAGGGUAGCUGAAGGUACUAUACRAAUAAGCACCGGCUAACUCCGUGCCAGCAGCCGCGGUAAUACGGAGGGUGCAAGCGUUAUCCGGAUUUAUUGGGUUUAAAGGGUCCGUAGGCGGAUCUGUAAGUCAGUGGUGAAAUCUCACAGCUUAACUGUGAAACUGCCAUUGAUACUGCAGGUCUUGAGUGUUGUUGAAGUAGCUGGAAUAAGUAGUGUAGCGGUGAAAUGCAUAGAUAUUACUUAGAACACCAAUUGCGAAGGCAGGUUACUAAGCAACAACUGACGCUGAUGGACGAAAGCGUGGGGAGCGAACAGGAUUAGAUACCCUGGUAGUCCACGCCGUAAACGAUGCUAACUCGUUUUUGGAGCGCAAGCUUCAGAGACUAAGCGAAAGUGAUAAGUUAGCCACCUGGGGGAGUACGAACGCRAKUUUGAMACUCAAAGGAAUUGACGGGGGCCCGCACAAGCGGUGGAUUAUGUGGUUUAAUUCGAUGAUACGCGAGGAACCUUACCAAGGCUUAAAUGGGAAAUGACAGGUUUAGAAAUAGACUUUUCUUCGGACAUUUUUCAAGGUGCUGCAUGGUUGUCGUCAGCUCGUGCCGUGAGGUGUUAGGUUAAGUCCUGCAACGAGCGCAACCCCUGUCACUAGUUGCCAUCAUUAAGUUGGGGACUCUAGUGAGACUGCCUACGCAAGUAGAGAGGAAGGUGGGGAUGACGUCAAAUCAUCACGGCCCUUACGCCUUGGGCCACACACGUAAUACAAUGGCCGGUACAGAGGGCAGCUACACUGCGAAGUGAUGCAAAUCUCGAAAGCCGGUCUCAGUUCGGAUUGGAGUCUGCAACUCGACUCUAUGAAGCUGGAAUCGCUAGUAAUCGCGCAUCAGCCAUGGCGCGGUGAAUACGUUCCCGGGCCUUGUACACACCGCCCGUCAAGCCAUGGAAGUCUGGGGUACCUGAAGUCGGUGACCGUAACAGGAGCUGCCUAG
rnacentral:rRNA from 1 species